rnacentral:rRNA from 1 species
GACGAACGCUGGCGGCGUGCUUAACACAUGCAAGUCGAACGGAAAGGCCCUGCUUUUGUGGGGUGCUCGAGUGGCGAACGGGUGAGUAACACGUGAGUAACCUGCCCUUGACUUUGGGAUAACUUCAGGAAACUGGGGCUAAUACCGGAUAGGAGCUCCUGCUGCAUGGUGGGGGUUGGAAAGUUUCGGCGGUUGGGGCUGGACUCGCGGCUUAUCAGCUUGUUGGUGGGGUAGUGGCUUACCAAGGCUUUGACGGGUAGCCGGCCUGGGAGGGUGACCGGCCACAUUGGGACUGCGAGACGGCCCAGAAGCCUACGGGAGGCAGCAGUGGGGAAUAUUGCACAAUGGGCGGAAGCCUGAUGCAGCAACGCCGCGUGCGGGAUGACGGCCUUCGAGGUGUAAACCGCUGUCGCCGGUGACGAAGCGUGAGUGACGGUAAUGGGUAAAGAAGCACCGGCUAACUACGUG